AGUGAACGCUGGCGGUAGGCCUAACACAUGCAAGUCGAACGGCAGCACAGUAAGAGCUUGCUCUUACGGGUGGCGAGUUGCGGACGGGUGAGGAAUACAUCGGAAUCUACUUUUUCGUGGGGGAUAACGUAGGGAAACUUACGCUAAUACCGCAUACGACCUACGGGUGAAAGCAGGGGAUCUUCGGACCUUGCGCGAUUGAAUGAGCCGAUGUCGGAUUAGCUAGUUGGCGGGGUAAAGGCCCACCAAGGCGACGAUCCGUAGCUGGUCUGAGAGGAGGAUCAGACACACUGGAACGGAGACACGGUCCAGACCCCUACGGGAGGCAGGGGUGGGGAAUAUUGGACAAUGGGCGCAAGGCUGAUCCAGCCAUACCGCGUGGGUGAAGAAGGCCUUCGGGUUGUAAAGCCCUUUUGUUGGGAAAGAAAAGCAGCAGGUUAAUACCCCGCUGUUCUGACGGUACCGAAAGAAUAAGCACCGGCUAACUUCGUG
rnacentral:rRNA from 1 species